rnacentral:rRNA from 1 species
UACGUAGGGCGCAAGCGUUGUCCGGAAUUAUUGGGCGUAAAGAGCUCGUAGGCGGCUUGUCGCGUCGAUUGUGAAAGCCCGGGGCUUAACUCCGGGUCUGCAGUCGAUACGGGCAGGCUAGAGUGUGGUAGGGGAGUCUGGAAUUCCUGGUGUAGCGGUGAAAUGCGCAGAUAUCAGGAGGAACACCGGUGGCGAAGGCGGGACUCUGGGCCGAUACUGACGCUGAGGAGCGAAAGCGUGGGGAGCAAACAGG